rnacentral:rRNA from 1 species
UGAGACACGGUCCAGACUCCUACGGGAGGCAGCAGUGGGGAAUAUUGCACAAUGGGCGCAAGCCUGAUGCAGCCAUGCCGCGUGUAUGAAGAAGGCCUUCGGGUUGUAAAGUACUUUCAGCGGGGAGGAAGGUGUUGUGGUUAAUAACCGCAGCAAUUGACGUUACCCGCAGAAGAAGCACCGGCUAACUCCGUGCCAGCAGCCGCGGUAAUACGGAGGGUGCAAGCGUUAAUCGGA